AUGGACCACGCGUCCACCGCGGUUGUGAGCGCGCUGUCCGCGACCACCUGACCGCUGCCCGCUACGUGUUGUCAGCC
rfam:Xanthomonas oryzae pv. oryzae KACC10331, complete genome.